rnacentral:lncRNA from 1 species
UUCUUUCCCAUGGCCUGAUUGGUCGAGUACAGUUAGGGCGUGUUUGGUUCGCUUCUUUUUCACUCUAAGGGCUUAUUUGGUUCAUCCAUUUUGGUAUGGAUUGGGAAUCCGUUUGAUCAAAUCCUGUUAAGUUUGUUUGAUUCACAUGAAUCGGUUUGGGAUUUCUAUUCCGGACUGGAAUAGGAAUGGUCCAUUAGCCUUCAACUUGAUUUCGGUCUUCUAGUCCGGAUUGAGAUUUCAUUCCGGAAGCCCACUAAGUUCUCGAAGCCCAUGUGACCAUCUCACCCUCCUUCUCUUCACCCAUUUCUCGUCAAAAAAAAAAAAAAACCUAUCCUCUCUCAAAAUCCUAUCCCUAACCCACAUCAAUAAAAAAUUUUAAAAAUAAAUUUGAUAAUUUUUUUGGAAAACUUAUUAGAGAAUAGUAUUAUAUUUUUCAUAAAUUUUAAAUAAUAUAAAUUUAUAUUUGACAGUAAAAUUAGUAUUAUAAUAUCCUAUAAUUUGUUUAGUUUAUACGAACCAAACAAUGAAAUGUGAAUAACUCAUUUCAAUUCUCAAUCCACAAAUAAACCAAACGUCUUGAAGGAGUGGGCCAUUCCAAUUGACAUUCCAAUUCAUUCUCAUUACAUUAUCCAUUACAAUUCCACCCUUGAACCAAACAAGCCCUAAAAUCGGAAUCGGAAUGGGCGAAUCCGUUUGUGGGUGUUUGGUACGUGGGGGUCUCUUUCCGAUUCCGAUUUUCGAGUGGAAUAGGAAUUUCUCAAUCAUCUCUUUUUCCAAUCUGGCCAGCCUGCCGGAUUGGAAGGUCUAGAAGGCCGGAUUGGAAGUUAAAUCCAGACGUAAUAUAUAUUUAUUUGGAUUAAAUUUAUUUUUUCAACUUUGUCUAAUUAAAAUAUGAGUUUAAAUUUAGAAAUUAAAUUUAUAAUUUUAAAUAUUAAUUUAAAAUUGAAUUAAAAAUUAAAAUUUAAUCAAGUAUUUCAAAUCUAACUUAUGAAUUUGAAUUUAAAUUAAAUUUUAAUUUAUAUAAAGUUUUAUUCAAAUUUUAUUUAAAACUUAAAUUAAAUUUAUGGAUUCAAAUUAAAAUUUAAAUUGUAAUUUUAAGUUUGAAUUUGAAUAAAUCAAAAUUUAGUUUUAUAUUUUGAAUUAUCGACUCAACUUCAAAGUUUAAUUUUUUUAAAAAAAUAGAUAUAAAAUUUUGACAUUAUUUCAAAAUUUUGAUAUAAAUUUUAAUAUUUAAUUUUCAAUUUGAAUUUAAAUUAAUAUAUUAUAAAGAUAAAGUUAGUAGAGUGAGGCUACUAUGCUUCUGGAAGCACAGAGUCUUCUGUGCUUCCACGUCGUUUUUGAUGUUGCGACUUUCGAAUCGUUGAUCGGCUCCGUUAAACUUGAUAUAGUGUAUUUGAAGUAUCUACAAAAUAAAUUUGCAAUUUUUCGAUAUCAUUUGCCUAGUAAACUAAGGGGCUUAAAAUCAACGGCUGAAAAUAAAAAUCUUACAAAACGUGAUAAUAUGACAUUAAAAUUUUAUAUCAAAGAUAUUGAUCUUGUUUUAUAUAGUAUAAAGAAUUUUCUAUCAAAAUUUCACGUGAUUUGGAUAUUUCUACAUCGUUAAACUUGCAAAUGGCUCACUACGGUCAUUGAAAUUAUUAAUUUUGAGUCCCUUCGAUCACUAGGCAAAUGAUAUCGAAAAAUCAUAAAAUUUAUUUUUUAAGUACUUCAAAUACUCUAGAUCAAGUUUAAUGGAGCCGAUCAACGAUUCGAAAGUCGCAACAUCGAAAACGAUCUGGAAGCACGGAAGGCUCCAUGCUUCUAGAAGCAUAGUAGCCUCACUCAAGUUAGUAUAUUAAUUUGAUUACGUUUUUUAUAUCUACUUGAACCAAACACUGAUAAUGGGAAUGAUUUAUUCCGAUUUCGAUUCAGGUGACGAACCAAACAAAAUUAGGUAAUGAGUCAUUCUGAUUUUGUUUCUAGUUUAUUUCGAUUCCGAUUCUGACUUCGAACCAACCACGCCCUUAUAUUAUAAAUAAAUACAGCAUAGUUGGAAAUGUGUAUUCCUAAACAUAAAUUGUGUCGAUUUAUUUAACCAUAACUAAUUUUAAAAUAAAAGGCUAAAUUAAAGAAAACUCUUCUGUCAAAAUUCGAUUUUUCACUUUUCCCCCUGUCAUUUAAAAACCUACACUUUGCCCCAUUGUAAAAUAAAAAAUAUUCACUUCACUCCCUGCCGUUAGUGAUCCGUUAAGAUUCUGUUUAUAAAAUAUUAUUAUAUAUUUUUUUAUGCCAAAUACUCUCAGCCUUCUUUCAUGUUGCCAAAAAUGGUGAGAGGCAAAAUGGUCAUUUUGUCAUCACAGUUUACACCGUACCUCUUGUGACCAUUUUUUAUUUUGCAUGGGGGCAAAGUGUAGGUUUUUAAAUGACGGGGGAGAAAAGUAAAAAAUCGGGUUUUGACUGGAGGGUUUUAUAUAAUUUAGCCUAAAUAAAAGCAGUUUUUUAAUUAAACUA